rnacentral:rRNA from 1 species
GAGUUUGAUCCUGGCUCAGGACGAACGCUGGCGGCGUGCCUAACACAUGCAAGUCGAGCGAGGGGAGUUCUUCGGAACGAACCUAGCGGCGGACGGGUGAGUAACACGUGGGUAACCUGCCUCAAAGUGGGGGAUAGCCUUCCGAAAGGUAGAUUAAUACCGCAUAAUCCAUAAGCUCCGCAUGGAACAUAUGGUAAAGAUUUAUUGCUUUGAGAUGGACCCGCGGCGCAUUAGCUAGUUGGUGAGGUAACGGCUCACCAAGGCCACGAUGCGUAGCCGACCUGAGAGGGUGAUCGGCCACAUUGGAACUGAGACACGGUCCAGACUCCUACGGGAGGCAGCAGUGGGGAAUAUUGCACAAUGGGCGAAAGCCUGAUGCAGCAACGCCGCGUGAGUGAUGAAGGCCUUCGGGUUGUAAAGCUCUGUCUUUUGGGGACGAUAAUGACGGUACCCAAGGAGGAAGCCACGGCUAAUUACGUGCCAGCAGCCGCGGUUAAUACGUAGGUGGCAAGCGUUGUCCGGAUUUACUGGGCGUAAAGUCUGCGUAGGUGGAUAUUUUAAGUCAGAUGUGAAACCCCCCAGGCUCAACCCUGGGGAACUGCAUUUUGAAACUGGGAUAUCUUGGAGUGCAGGAAUAGGUAAGUGGGAAUUCCUUAGUGUAGCCGUUGAAAUGCGUAGAAGAUUAGGGAAGAACCCCCAGUCGCCGAAAGCUAACUUUACUGGGACUGGUAACUUAACACUUGAGGCCACGAAAAGCGUUGGGGUAGCAAAACAGGGAUUAGGAUACCCCUGGGUAGUCCAACGCCGGUAAAACGAUGGAGUCCUAGGGUGUAGGGAGGGUAUCCGACUUCCUUUCUUGUGCCGGCAGUUUAACCACAAAUAAGGUACUCCCGCCUUGGGAAAGUACCGAUCCGCCAAGAAUUAAAAACUUCAAAAGGAAUUUGACGGGGG